AUCCCUGGAAAUAAUAUUAUUAUCAAUACAUUCCUACUACUAUGCUGAUACAAUUCUAUCAUUGUGACUAUCGAACUAUUUGAUUCAAUAUAAUUAUGCUUUUUUAAGCCUUGACUGUACCACGACUGGGCAAAGCCUUCCAUCUAUCUCUAUUGGUCAUUCAUUCGUGCUACUUCAUCAAAUAACUUCAUGAAUAUCACAGAGAUAUUUGUUUGCGUCAGGCAUACAAAUGAAUUCAGUACAUAAUGCAAAACUAUCUCCUAUUUUUUUUUGCACGACAAAAUUAGUAACAUAUUUCUGUAACGUCAAAUCACACGAGAAACAAAAUGCCUCACUGUACUUAUAUGCUUUUUACUAGAUGAUUUCUAGCGCCUAAAAUUCUCUAGAUCCAAAAUUUCAUACUCACUUGUACACAUUAUUAGUAAACUUGUUAUAGCUGCCCAAAGCUACCAGGGUUCCCAGCCCCAGACCGUAAGAGAAGAAGAUCUGGGUGACAGCGUCGAUCCACACUUCGGAUUCCAUCAGCUUGGACAUGUUCGGCAUCACGUAGAACUUGAUGCCUUGCAUGGCGCCGGGUAAGGUGAUUCCUGGGAAGAUGGUGCACAGUCAACAAGAAGUAAGGGAACAGAGCGGUGAAGUAGACGACCUUGCCGGUCCACCUGACUCCCUUCCAGAUGCAGAAGUAGCACAGCACCCACACGAGGAGUAGGGUCCCCGCCAGCUCCCAGCGAAUGUUGCCGAUGUGUUCGAUGCCGCUGGAGAUUUGGAGGGCACGGCGUCUGGGGAUGGUGAAGUUAGUAUGAGAAGAAUGAGGAGUGAUAUAGAUUUUGAUAUAUGUUUUGGAAUUAUAUUGUGAGCUAUGUAUGUACAAUCUGAGGGAGAUAUUCUUGAAACUAAAGGAUAAAAUAGCAACUUUAGUAAAAGUCUCACUAACUGUUUUAAAGGAGUGAAUAUCAUCGCCAUGUACUUUUGAGUAUAAAGUGAUUUAAUUCUUAUUGAAAUUUGCACAUCCUCAUAUAGACACAUCUUUUCAUACAUAUUUAUGUAGAUACAACUAUUCAAACUUACACGUCAGGUGUAUUCAACUUUGCUUCAUAAAUAAUAAAAGAUGUUAAUUAACAA